UUCCGGUUGAUCCUGCCGGACCUGACUGCUAUCGGAUUGAUACUAAGCCAUGCGAGUUUUUGUAGCAAUACAAGGCAUACGGCUCAGUAACACGUAGUCAAUCUAACCUAUGGACGAGGAUAACCUCGGGAAACUGAGAAUAAUACUCGAUAGAUCAUUAUGCCUGGAACGGUUUAUGGUUAAAAUGAAUUUCGCCAUAGGAUGGGACUGCGGUCUAUCAGCUUGUUGGUGAUGUAAUGGACCACCAAGGCUAUAACAGAUACGGGCUCUGAGAGGAGAAGCCCGGAGAUGGGUACUGAAACACGGACCCAGGCCCUAUGGGGCGCAGCAGGCGAGAAAACUUUGCAAUGUGCGAAAGCACGACAAGGUUAAUCCGAGUGAUUCCUGCUAAAGGAAUCUUUUGUUUGUCAUAAAACCACUAAUGAAUAAGGGGUGGGCAAGUUCUGGUGUCAGCCGCCGCGGUAAAACCAGCACCUCAAGUGGUCAGGAUGAUUAUUGGGCCUAAAGCAUCCGUAGCCGGCUCUGUAAGUUUUCGGUUAAAUCCAUAUGCUCAACAUAUGGGCCGCCGGGAAUACUGCAUAGCUAGGGAGUGGGAGAGGUAGACGGUACUCCGUAGGAAGGGGUAAAAUCCUUUGAUCUAUGGAUGACCACCUGUGGCGAAGGCGGUCUACCAGAACACGUUCGACGGUGAGGGAUGAAAGCUGGGGGAGCAAACCGGAUUAGAUACCCGGGUAGUCCCAGCUGUAAACUAUGCAAACUCAGUGAUGCAUUGGCUUGUGGCCAGUGCAGUGCCGCAGAGAAGUCGUUAAGUUUGCCGCCUGGGAAGUACGUACGCAAGUAUGAAACUUAAAGGAAUUGGCGGGGGAGCACCACAAGGGGUGAAGCCUGCGGUUCAAUUGGAGUCAACGCCGG
rnacentral:rRNA from 1 species